AUAUGUGGCUAAGUGUCUUAAAUGUCAUCUGGAUUUUAUGUGGAUAUGCAAAAUCUUGAAAUGAAAAGUGUAUUUAGGGCCUUAUUGCUAAUUUGUCAAAAUUGACUAUGGCUACUACAUUUGGUGCCUUAGUGGAACCUAGCAGUGAGUGCAGUACAUCUGUGGAAUAUAAGACUAUGACACCAGAAAUGCCACACAAUGCAAAAUACAUGUUAAUCUGUACAGCUAGUCU